AUUGAACGCUAGCGGGAUGCUUUACACAUGCAAGUCGAACGAGUGGAGGAAGGGUGAGUAAUAUAUCGGAACGUGCCCAGUAGCGGGGGAUAAGUACUCGAAAGAGAGGCUAAUACCGCAUAAUAUUGGAGGGGCCGAUAUAGGAUUAGCUAGUUGGGGGGGUAAAGGCUCACCAAGGCAACGAUCCGUAGCUGGUUUGAGAGGACGACCAGCCACACUGGAACUGAGACACGGCCCAGACUCCUACGGGAGGCACCAGUGGGGAAUUUUGGACAAUGGGGGAAACCCUGAUCCAGCCAUCCCGCGUGUAUGAGAAGGCCUUCGGUUUGUAAAGUACUUUUGGCAGGGAAGCGGUAUCUGCAGAAUAAGCACCGGCUAACUACGUGCCAGCCGCCGCGGUAAUUC
rnacentral:rRNA from 1 species